GACGAACGCUGGCGGCGUGCUUAACACAUGCAAGUCGAACGGAAAGGCCCUGCUUUUGUGGGGUGCUCGAGUGGCGAACGGGUGAGUAACACGUGAGUAACCUGCUCUUGACUUUGGGAUAACUUCAGGAAACUGGGGCUAAUACCGGAUAGGAGCCCCUGCUGCAUGGUGGGGGUUGGAAAGUUUCGGCGGUUGGGGAUGGACUCGCGGCUUACCAGCUUGUUGGUGGGGUAGUGGCUUACCAAGGCUUUGACGGGUAGCCGGCAUGAGAGGGUGACCGGCGACAUUGGGACUAAGAUACGGCGCAGACUCCAACGGGAGGCAGCGGUGGGGAGUAUGGCACAAUGGGCGGGAGCGUGAUGAGGAAGCGCCGCGUGCGGGAUGACGGCCUUCGGGUUAUGAACCGCUUUCGCCUGUGACGAAGCGUGAGUGACGGUAAUGGAUGAAGAAGCACCGGCUAACUACGUG
rnacentral:rRNA from 1 species